CGUCCCGCCGGCGACCGGCGCACGGGUGAGUAACACGUAUGCAACCUGGCCGCCACAGGGGGAUAACCCGCGGGAACGCGGCCUAAUACCCCGUGACGCCACCGGAGGGCAUCCUCCGGUGGCCAAAGGAGCGAUCCGGUGGCGGAUGGGCAUGCGGCGCAUUAGCUAGACGGCGGGGUGACGGCCCACCGUGGCGACGAUGCGUAGGGGUUCUGAGAGGAAGGCCCCCCACACUGGGACUGAGACACGGCCCAGACUCCUACGGGAGGCAGCAG
rnacentral:rRNA from 1 species